rnacentral:lncRNA from 1 species
UGAAUAGUGCCGUAUACGUGAAUAGUAACCCCGACACAAAAAGAUAGAAAUUUCACAAAAAAAUAUCUUCACACUUCGUGAAUAGUACUCGUGAAUAGUAACUCGUCAAUAGUAACUCAUGAAUAGUAACCCAUGAAUAGUAACUCCGACAUGAAAAAGUUCUAAAUUUGAUAAAAAGUUCAACCAAUAUUUUGGCAUAAUGAUAUUGAAGAAAAUAAUAUCAUUUGCGAAAGAAAUAACAUCCUUUACCUCAAAAUAACCGUACUUCUGACUGAAUUUCGGUAUAGUGCUGACAGAAACUCGCACCGUAUAGCAACACUCAAAGUAUACUCACAAGAAUAUGCUCGAUAAUAUAGAGAGAGAAAGAGAGAAAACUU